GGGGAUGCAGAGAAGGCAAUUUAUUGUUGCAAAAUUCAGAUUUUUUAGUAAUUCUAUUUGAAAAAAACGAAAGAAUAAAAGUAGUCUCUGUCAUGUCGACUCUUUGAGUUCUAGGGACUGAUCUGUAGGCUUAAACUGUUAAGACAUUGGAUAUCUAUGAAAUAAAGAUCAGAAUAACGCAGAAUAUGAAGCUCAGAUGAA
rnacentral:misc_RNA from 1 species